rnacentral:rRNA from 1 species
UGGCCUACGGGGGGCAGCAGUAGGGAAUUUUCGUCAAUGGGCGCAAGCCUGAACGAGCAAUGCCGCGUGAACGAGGAAGGUCUUCGGAUCGUAAAGUUCUGUUGAAGGGGAAAAAGAGCGGAGAGAGGAAAUGGUCUCCGAUUGAUAUUACCCUUCGAGGAAGUCACGGCUAACUACGUGCCAGCAGCCGCGGUAAUACGUAGGUGGCGAGCGUUAUCCGGAAUGAUUGGGCGUAAAGGGUGCGUAGGCGGCCUGCUAAGUCUGGAGUGAAAGGCGGGGGCCCAACCCCCGGACUGCUCUGGAAA